ACGAACGCUGGCGGCGUGCCUAAUACAUGCAAGUCGAACGCUUCUUUCCUCCCGAGUGCUUGCACUCAAUUGGAAAGAGGAGUGGCGGACGGGUGAGUAACACGUGGGUAACCUACCCAUCAGAGGGGGAUAACACUUGGAAACAGGUGCUAAUACCGCAUAACAGUUUAUGCCGCAUGGCAUAAGAGUGAAAGGCGCUUUCGGGUGUCGCUGAUGGAUGGACCCGCGGUGCAUUAGCUAGUUGGUGAGGUAACGGCUCACCAAGGCCACGAUGCAUAGCCGACCUGAGAGGGUGAUCGGCCACACUGGGACUGAGACACGGCCCAGACUCCUACGGGAGGCAGCAGUAGGGGAUCUUCGGCAAUGGACGAAAGUCUGACCGAGCAACGCCGCGUGAGUGAAGAAGGUUUUCGGAUCGUAAAACUCUGUUGUUAGAGAAGAACAAGGACGUUAGUAACUGAACGUCCCCUGACGGUAUCUAACCAGAAAGCCACGGCUAACUACGUG
rnacentral:rRNA from 1 species